rnacentral:rRNA from 1 species
UACGUAGGUGGCAAGCGUUGUCCGGAUUUACUGGGUGUAAAGGGCGUGCAGCCGGAGAGACAAGUCAGAUGUGAAAUCCACGGGCUCAACCCGUGAACUGCAUUUGAAACUGUUUCCCUUGAGUGUCGGAGAGGUAAUCGGAAUUCCUAGUGUAGCGGUGAAAUGCGUAGAUAUUAGGAAGAACACCAGUGGCGAAGGCGGAUUACUGGACGAUAACUGACGGUGAGGCGCGGAAGCGUGGGGAGCAAACAGG